rnacentral:rRNA from 1 species
GGAAUAUUGGACAAUGGGCGCAAGCCUGAUCCAGCCAUGCCGCGUGCAGGAUGACGGUCCUAUGGAUUGUAAACUGCUUUUAUACAGGAAGAAACACUGGUUCGUGAACCAGCUUGACGGUACUGUAAGAAUAAGGAUCGGCUAACUCCGUGCCAGCAGCCGCGGUAAUACGGAGGAUCCAAGCGUUAUCCGGAAUCAUUGGGUUUAAAGGGUCCGUAGGCGGUUUAAUAAGUCAGUGGUGAAAGCCCAUCGCUCAACGGUGGAACGGCCAUUGAUACUGUUAGACUUGAAUUAUUAGGAAGUAACUAGAAUAUGUAGUGUAGCGGUGAAAUGCUUAGAGAUUACAUGGAAUACCAAUUGCGAAGGCAGGUUACUACUAAUUGAUUGACGCUGAUGGACGAAAGCGUGGGUAGCGAACAGGAUUAGAUACCCGGG